rnacentral:rRNA from 1 species
UACGUAGGUGGCUAGCGUUGUCCGGAUUUACUGGGCGUAAAGAGCGCGCAGGCGGUCGUUCAAGUCGAGUGUGAAAGCCCCCGGCUCAACUGGGGAGGGUCACUCGAUACUGAUCGACUCGAAGGCAGGAGAGGGAAGCGGAAUUCCCGGUGUAGUGGUGAAAUGCGUAGAUAUCGGGAGGAACAUCAGUGGCGAAGGCGGCCCUCUGGACCAGCACUGACGCUGAGGCACGAAAGCGUGGGGAGCAAACAGG